AUACGUAGGUGGCAAGCGUUGUCCGGAAUUAUUGGGCGUAAAGCGCGCGCAGGCGGUCCUUUAAGUCUGAUGUGAAAGCCCACGGCUCAACCGUGGAGGGUCAUUGGAAACUGGGGGACUUGAGUGCAGAAGAGGAAAGUGGAAUUCCAAGUGUAGCGGUGAAAUGCGUAGAGAUUUGGAGGAACACCAGUGGCGAAGGCGACUUUCUGGUCUGUAACUGACGCUGAGGCGCGAAAGCGUGGGGAGCAAACAGGAUUAGAUACCCGGGUAGUCCACGCCGUAAACGAUGAGUGCUAAGUGUUAGGGGGUUUCCGCCCCUUAGUGCUGCAGCUAACGCAUUAAGCACUCCGCCUGGGGAGUACGGUCGCAAGACUGAAACUCAAAUGAAUUGACGGGG
rnacentral:rRNA from 1 species